rnacentral:rRNA from 1 species
UACGUAGGGUGCGAGCGUUAAUCGGAAUUACUGGGCGUAAAGGGUGCGUAGGCGGAAAUGUAAGUUAGAUGUGAAAUUCCUGAGCUUAACUUAGGGAUAGCAUUUAAGACUGCAUAUCUAGAGUUUGUGAGAGGGGGGUAGAAUUCCAAGUGUAGCAGUGAAAUGCGUAGAGAUUUGGAGGAAUACCGAUGGCGAAGGCAGCCCCCUGGCAUAGAACUGACGCUGAGGCACGAAAGCGUGGGUAGCAAACAGGG